rnacentral:lncRNA from 1 species
AUGGCUAAAUGCACCAAUAAAGUUGGAAUUGUCGGUAAAUACAGGAUCCGCUAUGGUGCCUCCUUCCAGAAAAUGGUGAAGAAAAUUGAAACCGGCUAGCACGCCAAGUACAAUUGCUCUUUCUGUGACAAAACCAAGAUGAAAAGACGAGAUAUGGGGGUCGGGCACUGUGGUUCGUGCAUGAAGACAGUAGCUGGUGGUGGCUGAACCUACAAUACCACUUCUGCCGUCACAGCAAAGUCUACAGUCAGAAGACUGAAGGAAUUGAAAGACCAG